rnacentral:rRNA from 1 species
UAGGGAAUCUUCGGCAAUGGACGAAAGUCUGACCGAGCAACGCCGCGUGAGUGAAGAAGGUUUUCGGAUCGUAAAACUCUGUUGUUAGAGAAGAACAAGGACGUUAGUAACUGAACGUCCCCUGACGGUAUCUAACCAGAAAGCCACGGCUAACUACGUGCCAGCAGCCGCGGUAAUACGUAGGUGGCAAGCGUUGUCCGGAUUUAUUGGGCGUAAAGCGAGCGCAGGCGGUUUCUUAAGUCUGAUGUGAAAGCCCCCGGCUCAACCGGGGAGGGUCAUUGGAAACUGGGAGACUUGAGUGCAGAAGAGGAGAGUGGAAUUCCAUGUGUAGCGGUGAAAUGCGUAGAUAUAUGGAGGAACACCAGUGGCGAAGGCGGCUCUCUAGUCUGUAACUGACGCUGAGGCUCGAAAGCGUGGGGAGCAAACAGG